AACGAACGCUGGCGGCAGGCUUAACACAUGCAAGUCGAGCGAAGCCUUCGGGCUUAGCGGCGGACGGGUGAGUAACGCGUGGGAACGUGCCCUUUGCUACGGAAUAGCCCCGGGAAACUGGGAUUAAUACCGUAUGUGCCCUACGGGGGAAAGAUUUAUCGGCAAAGGAUCGGCCCGCGUCUGAUUAGGUAGUUGGUGGGGUAAUGGCCUACCAAGCCGACGAUCAGUAGCUGGUUUGAGAGGAUGAUCAGCCACACUGGGACUGAGACACGGCCCAGACUCCUACGGGAGGCAGCAGUGGGGAAUCUUAGACAAUGGGGGCAACCCUGAUCUAGCCAUGCCGCGUGAGUGAAGAAGGCCCUAGGGUCGUAAAGCUCUUUCGCCAGGGAAGAUAAUGACGGUACCUGGUAAAGAAACCCCGGCUAACUCCG
rnacentral:rRNA from 1 species